rnacentral:ncRNA from 1 species
UAUUUAAUAUGUAAAUAUUACAUUAAAAAUUUAUUUGCAGUUUUUAGUUUUAAAACAUUAUUUAAGUAAGUUUUAGUAAUUAAUUAUAGAUUUAAUAAAAUUUGUGCCAGCAAUUGCGGUUAUACAAAUAAUUCAAUUGAAAUUUAUUGGUUAAUAAUUAAUUUGUUUUAAUUAAUUUAUUAUUAAAAUUUUUAAGUGAAAUUUAAAUUUUAAUAUAAUUUUUUUGUUUAUAUUUGAAGUUAUUAAAAUUAGUAUUAAACUAGGAUUAGAUACCCUAUUAUUAUAAUUGUAAAGUUUAAAUACCAGAUUAGUAUUAGUUGUUUUCUUAAAAAUUAAAGGAUUUGGCGGUAUUUUAGUCUAUUCAGAGGAACCUGUCCUGUAAUCGAUAAUCCACGAUUAGAAUAACUUUUCUUUUUCUUGUAUAUCGUUGUUUUUGAAUAUUUUAUAAGAAUUUAAAUUUUCAAUAAGUAUAUUUUAGUUAAUUUCAGAUCAAGGUGCAGUUUAUAGGAAAGAAGAUGAUGGGUUACAUUAAAUUUAUUUUUGGUUUAAUAUUUUGAAUAAUAUUAUUAAAUUGGAUUUGAUAGUAAUAUUUUAUAUAUUUAUUAUAUGAUUUUAGCUCUAAAAUGUGUACAUAUUGCCCGUCGCUCUCAUUUAUUUGAGAUAAGUCGUAACAAAGUAGAUUUACUGGAAAGUGAAUCUAGUAUUA